rnacentral:tRNA from 1 species
AAAAAGAUAAGCUAACUUAAAGCUAUUAGGUUCAUACCCUAAUAAUAGAAAUUCUUUCUUCUUUUUA